rnacentral:rRNA from 1 species
UACAGAGGGGGCAAGCGUUGUUCGGAAUUACUGGGCGUAAAGGGCGCGUAGGCGGCCUGUUAAGUCGAACGUGAAAUCCCCGGGCUCAACCCGGGAACUGCGUCCGAUACUGGCAGGCUUGAAUCCGGGAGAGGGAUGCGGAAUUCCAGGUGUAGCGGUGAAAUGCGUAGAUAUCUGGAGGAACACCGGUGGCGAAGGCGGCAUCCUGGGCAGUGGCUGACACUGAGGCGCGACAGCGUGGGGAGCAAACAGG